CUGGCUCAGUGAUUAAGCACAUGGACUCUAGAGGCAGAAUGCCUGGGUUUAAAUCCCAGCUCUGUCAGUAACUAGCUAUAUGGUCUUAAUUUCCUUGUUUGUAAAAUGGGGAUAAAAUAAUACUUUCCUCAUAGGGUAGUUGUGCGAGUUAAAUCACAUACACAUACACACACACAUUCAAAGUGCUGAGAACAGUAACUCUGGCACAUGUAAGUGUAGGUAAUAUUGCUUUUAUGAGUCAUUAGAACUUGGGUAUAUAGGUGAAGUAGAACCACCUUCACUUGGUCCCAAACUGGCCUACAGUGAGGGUAAACUGCUCUAGCUGUGGAAACUGGAGAACUCAGGGAGCCAUGUGGUGAUCACAUUCUCCUGAUGUCGCCAUGUGACCGCACUGUUCCUACUAUUCAAGAGGAUUCUAACCACAACUGGGGCUCCUGAUAGUCAACAAUCUGAAAUGCAAGCCACUGGCGCCCUCAGAAAUGGAAAGGCUUCUGAUAGCACACGUCUCCAGAAGUACAGCCAGCUGGUUGCCAAAAAGCUCACAAUAAAGUACUUACCUUG